rnacentral:misc_RNA from 1 species
CCGAAUUGUCGACACGAGUUGUUGCUGGUCCCCACAUGGGGGCAUGUGCACGCUCUGUUCGCACAUCCACUCACACCUGUGCACCCUCUGUAGUUCUGUGGCCUGUGGGGCUCUGCCCUCUUGCUGUGGUUCUAUGUCUUUACACACACACACUGUAAUAAAGUCUUAUGGAAUGUAUGUCGCGUUUAACGCAAUACAAUA